rnacentral:rRNA from 1 species
AGUACGGCGAGUGAAGCGGCAAAAGCUCAAAUUUGAAAUCUAGCACUUUCAGUGUUCGAGUUGUAAUUUGAAGAAGGUAACUUUGGUUUUGGCUCUUGUCUAUGUUCCUUGGAACAGGACGUCACAGAGGGUGAGAAUCCCGUGCGAUGAGAUGCCCAAUUCCAUGUAAAGUGCUUUCGAAGAGUCGAGUUGUUUGGGAAUGCAGCUCUAAGUGGGUGGUAAAUUCCAUCUAAAGCUAAAUAUUGGCGAGAGACCGAUAGCGAACAAGUACAGUGAUGGAAAGAUGAAAAGAACUUUGAAAAGAGAGUGAAAAAGUACGUGAAAUUGUUGAAAGGGAAGGGCUUGAGAUCAGACUUGGUAUUUUGCGUUCCCUUCCUUUUUGGUUGGGUUCCUCGCAGUUUACUGGGCCAGCAUCGGUUUGGAUGGUAGGAUAAUGACAUUGGAAUGUAGCUUUACUUCGGUGAAGUGUUAUAGACUUUGUUGAUACUGCCUAUCUAGACCGAGGACUGCGUCUUUGACUAGGAUGCUGGCGUAAUGAUCUUAAGCCGCCCGUCUUGAAACACGGACCCA